rfam:Aedes albopictus isolate Foshan contig137076, whole genome shotgun sequence.
UGCCCAGCAACUUUUAUUCCUACCUCCUCGUGGUACCGGCCGGAAACUAUGAGCAACCUUAGGGAAGAUUGGGUAACCAACCUCGGUGGGAUCUUUGGUCAUAGGCUGACAGGGAAGG